GAUGAACGCUGGCGGCGUGCCUUAUACAUGCAAGUCGAGCGAACAGACGAGGAUCUUUCUCCUCUGACGUUAGCGGCGGACGGGUGAUUAACACGUGGAUAACCUACCUAUAAGGCUGGGAUAACUUCGGCAAACCGGAUCUAGUACCGGAUAAUAUAUUGAACCGCAUGGUUCAAUAGUGAAUGACGGUUUUGCUGUCACUUAUACAUGUAUCCGCGCCGCAUUAGCUAGUUGGUAAGGUAACGGCUUACCAAGGCAACGAUGCGUAGCCGACCUGAGAGGGUGAUCGGCCACACUGGAACUGAGACACGGUCCAGACUCCUACGGGAGGCAGCAGUAGGGAAUCUUGCGCAAUGGGCGAAAGCCUGACGCAGCAAACCCGCGUGAGUGAUGAAGGUCUUCGGAUAGUAAAACUCUGUUAUUAGGGAAGAACCAAUGUGUAAGUAACUAUGCAGGUAUUGACGGUACCUGCUCAGAAAGCACCGGCUAACUACGUG
rnacentral:rRNA from 1 species